UUACAACCAGCGCAGACAGUCAUGAAAACAAUCAGUUUAAUAAUAAUAAGUGUUCUUUUUGUCCAUGCUUACUGUGCGGAUCCACAGUCUCAUUGCCUAAUGGCUUGCCCAAUGAUCUGGUUGCCCCUCUGUGGAUCAGAUGGACACACCUACAGCAACCAAUGUGAACUAAAUGUCCACAAUUGUCUCCAAAAAUCAAACGUAGUGAAAAUUCAUGAGGGCACGUGUGACCUGAAUACCCUCGGGUAAAAGGCCUCAUCAGACUGGUGGACUAUACUUUGUUUUUGAUGUACGCAAACAAAAACAGCAAAUAAAAUAAAA